rnacentral:rRNA from 1 species
GAUGAACGCUGGCGGCGUGCCUAAUACAUGCAAGUCGAGCGAACGGACGAGAAGCUUGCUUCUCUGAUGUUAGCGGCGGACGGGAGAGUAACACGUGGAUAACCUACCUAUAAGACUGGGAUAACUUCGGGAAACCGGAGCUAAUACCGGAUAAUAUUUUGAACCGCAUGGUUCAAAAGUGAAAGACGGUCUUGCGGUCACUUAUAGAUGGAUCCGCGCUGCAUUAGCUAGUUGGUAAGGUAACGGCUUACCAAGGCAACGAUGCAUAGCCGACCUGAGAGGGUGAUCGGCCACACUGGAACUGAGACACGGUCCAGACUCCUACGGGAGGCAGCAGUAGGGAAUCUUCCGCAAUGGGCGAAAGCCUGACGGAGCAACGCCGCGUGAGUGAUGAAGGUCUUCGGAUCGUAAAACUCUGUUAUUAGGGAAGAACAUAUGUGUAAGUAACUGUGCACAUCUUGACGGUACCUAAUCAGAAAGCCACGGCUAACUACGUG